rnacentral:rRNA from 1 species
AGGUGCUUGCAUCAUGAUUUACAUUUGAGUGAGUGGCGAACUGGUGAGUAACACGUGGGAAACCUGCCCAGAAGCGGGGGAUAACACCUGGAAACAGAUGCUAAUACCGCAUAACAACUUGGACCGCAUGGUCCGAGUUUGAAAGAUGGCUUCGGCUAUCACUUUUGGAUGGUCCCGCGGCGUAUUAGCUAGAUGGUGGGUAACGGCUCACCAUGGCAAUGAUACGUAGCCGACCUGAGAGGGUAAUCGGCCACAUUGGGACUGAGACACGGCCCAAACUCCUACGGGAGGCAGCAGUAGGGAAUCUUCCACAAUGGACGAAAGUCUGAUGGAGCAACGCCGCGUGAGUGAAGAAGGGUUUCGGCUCGUAAAACUCUGUUGUUAAAGAAGAACAUAUCUGAGAGUAACUGUUCAGGUAUUGACGGUAUUUAACCAGAAAGCCACGGCUAACUACGUGCCAGCAGCCGCGGUAAUACGUAGGUGGCAAGCGUUGUCCGGAUUUAUUGGGCGUAAAGCGAGCGCAGGCGGUUUUUUAAGUCUGAUGUGAAAGCCUUCGGCUCAACCGAAGAAGUGCAUCGGAAACUGGGAAACUUGAGUGCAGAAGAGGACAGUGGAACUCCAUGUGUAGCGGUGAAAUGCGUAGAUAUAUGGAAGAACACCAGUGGCGAAGGCGGCUGUCUGGUCUGUAACUGACGCUGAGGCUCGAAAGUAUGGGUAGCAAACAGGAUUAGAUACCCUGGUAGUCCAUACCGUAAACGAUGAAUGCUAAGUGUUGGAGGGUUUCCGCCCUUCAGUGCUGCAGCUAACGCAUUAAGCAUUCCGCCUGGGGAGUACGGCCGCAAGGCUGAAACUCAAAGGAAUUGACGGGGGCCCGCACAAGCGGUGGAGCAUGUGGUUUAAUUCGAAGCUACGCGAAGAACCUUACCAGGUCUUGACAUACUAUGCAAAUCUAAGAGAUUAGACGUUCCCUUCGGGGACAUGGAUACAGGUGGUGCAUGGUUGUCGUCAGCUCGUGUCGUGAGAUGUUGGGUUAAGUCCCGCAACGAGCGCAACCCUUAUUAUCAGUUGCCAGCAUUAAGUUGGGCACUCUGGUGARACUGCCGGUGACAAACCGGAGGAAGGUGGGGAUGACGUCAAAUCAUCAUGCCCCUUAUGACCUGGGCUACC